rnacentral:rRNA from 1 species
UGGGGAAUAUUGCACAAUGGGCGCAAGCCUGAUGCAGCGACGCCGCGUGAGGGAUGGAGGCCUUCGGGUUGUAAACCUCUUUCGCCAGUGAAGCAGGCCAUCUUCUUUGUGGGGUGGUUGACGGUAGCUGGAUAAGAAGCGCCGGCUAACUACGUGCCAGCAGCCGCGGUAAUACGUAGGGCGCGAGCGUUGUCCGGAAUUAUUGGGCGUAAAGAGCUCGUAGGCGGCUGGUCGCGUCUGUCGUGAAAUCCCCUGGCUUAACUGGGGGCUUGCGGUGGGUACGGGCCGGCUUGAGUGCGGUAGGGAAGACUGGAAUUCCUGGUGUAGCGGUGGAAUGCGCAUAUAUCAGGAGGAACACCGGUGGCGAAGGCGGGUCUCUGGGCCGUUACUGACGCUGAGGAGCGAAAGCGUGGGGAGCGAACAGG